GAUUAGAUACCCUAUUAUUCUCUAAUACAGAGGAGUUAGUGGAUUGGAGUUGGAUUAAAAACAAUAGAUUAUGGCGGUUCUUUAUCUAAUUAGAGAAACAUGUGUUUAUAUAAUGAAGUUGCACAAAUAAUUUUUCUGAAUCUUGAAAGGUGGAAAAAAUUCAUUUUACAUACCGCUAUCUGAAAGACUUUUUUUAGAGAAUAGUCUUGUUCCAUAAAUUGGAUUAAGGUAAGUAAAGGUGUAGAUGAUGAUUCAGGUAAUAUGUGUUUCGGAAAAAAAGAUGGAUUCAUAAAUGAAAGGUUGAGAUGAAAAAGAAUUUAGAAGUAAAAAAAAUUUAUAAAAUUUUUUUGAUUAAGCUAUAGAGGACGUACACAUCG
rnacentral:rRNA from 1 species